AAUAACUUAUUUUUCGAGAGGUGGAAUGAUUGGGUAACGCCAAAAACGCCUCCUUUGAUACUUCGAAUAGCGUCUUUUUUUGCACAAAAAGGGGUUAUAAGCUCGAUAAAGGCGGCUGAGAGUCACCCUAACGUAUAAUGGCGAGGAAAUGCGAACCAGAGGUGGUCGAGUGAAUGAUAGGCCGGAAGUCUAAAAA
rnacentral:ncRNA from 1 species